CCAAGGACACACAAAACAAACAGCCAAACAAGUAAAACAAACCUGCUACUCAUAAUCUUUCAACAAUUAAACUGCUAUCACGCGCACCUAGUUUUGCAAGUCCAUCUGCCUUCAUAUUACUUUCUCGAUAAACAUAUCUAACAUUACACUCCAUCUCCAUACAACAGUCUUACACUUCAGACCAAGAUUAAAAAAAUGGCAACUCGACGGGUCGACACGGGAAUCACCCAAGCUGCGUCGUUUUAGGCGAAAAAUCGGGAACUGUCCGAUUCGUAACAGUAAAUCGCCACCGAGUCUUAGAGAGAACCGCCCGAGUCGUGGCCAAAACACAAAUGAACAGUGCUGAGACAAAAAAAACGUCACGAGAUUGUUGUAGACUACAGUUUUUCUUCAAUUUUCAGCCUUUUCAUUGCAUUAUUGUGUGAAAUUAUUCGUUUUUUCAUUAUAAAAUAAGGAAUUCAGACGAUUGAAUCACAAUUUGUUUUUCAUUUUUCACAAAAAACCCUAAAUCUGCCAUUCUUGAGAUUUCUUCCCAAAUAUUGUAUGUUUUUUGUUUGGAUCAGAGGGUUUUUUAAGGAAAUCAUUUUCUAUAGAUGAUUGUAGUAUUUUUUUUUUGUGAUUCAGUAAAUAUUGGAGGCUGAUUUGUUAGGAAAUCAGAGGUUUCGUGAAGAACCGUUGGUGGAAAAAUAAAUUCCGCCAAUCUUGAGAUCUGAAUCGAUAUGGGCAAAAAGUUUCUUGAAAAUAGAGGGGUUUUGCUUGGAAUUCUGAUCUUCAUAAGCUAUUGCAUGCUUUUUGCUUGAUUUGAUCGAUUUUUCACGAAAUCAGAGGGAUUUUGUGAAGAACAGUUGACGAAAAAAAAAAAUUCUGCCAAUCUUGAGAUCUUGAUCGAUAUAGGCCGAAAUUUUUCUUGAAAACAGAAGGGUUUUGCUGAUGAUCUUGAUCUUCAUAAACUAUUGCAGGCUUUUUGUGAGAUUAAGCAACACUAGUUGCUCGAAUUUGCAAGAAAUCGAAGGUUGCUCGAAAUUGAGAGUGAUAACCUACGAUCGUUGAGAGCGGACAGUUGGGCACUAGCGGUUGGCAGAUGAGGUUCCGAGCUUGACGUGAAAAAGAUUCUUCUUGAUAGUGGGUGUCUGUUGGCAGUGGCCACUUAGUUGUUUUGUGGGUUGUCUUGAAAUUUUGUUGUUGGGCCUAUAGUGCCCUAGACAUGUUUGCAAUUAAAUUUUGAAGCCUGUAUACUUAAAUUUUGGUUUUAUUUUUGUCCA